rnacentral:lncRNA from 1 species
GGCAUAACCAUGCACUUCCCUGCACUGGCAACCAUCUCUAACCAGUUCUGUUGGGUUUUGUUAGCUCAGCAGUACUGCUUACCGCAGUGAACAGAAUGCGUCCUGCCACACUGAGAUUCAAGGGUUCUUAUGGGGACAGCUCCUGUUCAGUGAUGCCUAGUAUGCUACCCCUGUCUGCACUCUGGAUCUGCUUGGGGGACAAUCCCUGCCCCCUCCACCCAAGGAACCCAGAGAAACCACAUGGUGACAGUGAACCCUCAGGGCUGCGGAUGGCAUCUCCCAGGUUGGGAAAGAUCCUGCCAUGGAGCUCUCGUAUUUCUGGAUUCCCCUUUAGAAUAUAUUAACAGCUUCUGCCAACCCCACACCUAAGGAUGGCAUCAGGACAACAUCUGCAGCCGAGAGCAGAGACUCCCCUGCUUUUCUGUUACCUACCUCCCUGAUGUUUCCAGCAAGGCAUUUGGAAAAUGCCUUGAUUUAUGACUUUCUUUUGUUCUUCGAGCUUAAAAGUUCGUGUGACUGUUUCUAUGUUGGAACAAGUUAUUCAGAGCAACCCGAAUCUGCAUUCCUGAACCAUGGUCCCUCAUAUUGGCUCAGAUAAACCAUCCUUUUCUCACAGGGGAUGAUGGGAUGGAUGGGGGCACCUUCAUACCCUGCAUACCCUGCUUUAUGAAGACACAUUGGAACUCCACAUUGUAAAAAGAAGGCAGGCAUAAACAGUCC